ACUCUAACGGGAGGCAGGUCAGUUUGGGAAUAUUGCACAAUGGGCGCAAGCCUGAUGCAGCCAUGCCGCGUGUGUGAAGAAGGCCUUCGGGUUGUAAAGCACUUUCAGUCGUGAGGAAGGUAGUGUAGUUAAUAGCUGCAUUAUUUGACGUUAGCGACAGAAGAAGCACCGGCUAACUCCGUGCCAGCAGCCGCGGUAAUACGGAGGGUGCGAGCGUUAAUCGGAAUUACUGGGCGUAAAGCGCAUGCAGGUGGUUUGUUAAGUCAGAUGUGAAAGCCCGGGGCUCAACCUCGGAAUUGCAUUUGAAACUGGCAGACUAGAGUACUGUAGAGGGGGGGUAGAAUUUCAGGUGUAGCGGUGAAAUGCGUAGAGAUCUGAAGGAAUACCGGUGGCGAAGGCGGCCCCCUGGACAGAUACUGACACUCAGAUGCGAAAGCGUGGGAGCAAACAGGAUUAGAUACCCUGGUAGACAUCA
rnacentral:rRNA from 1 species